rnacentral:rRNA from 1 species
CGAACGCUGGCGGCGUGCCUAAUACAUGCAAGUAGAACGCUGAAGAGAGGAGCUUGCUCUUCUUGGAUGAGUUGCGAACGGGUGAGUAACGCGUAGGUAACCUGCCUUGUAGCGGGGGAUAACUAUUGGAAACGAUAGCUAAUACCGCAUAACAAUGGAUGACACAUGUCAUUUAUUUGAAAGGGGCAAUUGCUCCACUACAAGAUGGACCUGCGUUGUAUUAGCUAGUAGGUGAGGUAACGGCUCACCUAGGCGACGAUACAUAGCCGACCUGAGAGGGUGAUCGGCCACACUGGGACUGAGACACGGCCCAGACUCCUACGGGAGGCAGCAGUAGGGAAUCUUCGGCAAUGGGGGCAACCCUGACCGAGCAACGCCGCGUGAGUGAAGAAGGUUUUCGGAUCGUAAAGCUCUGUUGUAAGUCAAGAACGAGUGUGAGAGUGGAAAGUUCACACUGUGACGGUAGCUUACCAGAAAGGGACGGCUAACUACGUGCCAGCAGCCGCGGUAAUACGUAGGUCCCGAGCGUUGUCCGGAUUUAUUGGGCGUAAAGCGAGCGCAGGCGGUUUGAUAAGUCUGAAGUUAAAGGCUGUGGCUCAACCAUAGUUCGCUUUGGAAACUGUCAAACUUGAGUGCAGAAGGGGAGAGUGGAAUUCCAUGUGUAGCGGUGAAAUGCGUAGAUAUAUGGAGGAACACCGGUGGCGAAAGCGGCUCUCUGGUCUGUAACUGACGCUGAGGCUCGAAAGCGUGGGGAGCGAACAGGAUUAGAUACCCUGGUAGUCCACGCCGUAAACGAUGAGUGCUAGGUGUUGGAUCCUUUCCGGGAUUCAGUGCCGCAGCUAACGCAUUAAGCACUCCGCCUGGGGAGUACGACCGCAAGGUUGAAACUCAAAGGAAUUGACGGGGGCCCGCACAAGCGGUGGAGCAUGUGGUUUAAUUCGAAGCAACGCGAAGAACCUUACCAGGUCUUGACAUCCCGAUGCUAUUUCUAGAGAUAGAAAGUUACUUCGGUACAUCGGUGACAGGUGGUGCAUGGUUGUCGUCAGCUCGUGUCGUGAGAUGUUGGGUUAAGUCCCGCAACGAGCGCAACCCCUAUUGUUAGUUGCCAUCAUUCAGUUGGGCACUCUAGCGAGACUGCCGGUAAUAAACCGGAGGAAGGUGGGGAUGACGUCAAAUCAUCAUGCCCCUUAUGACCUGGGCUACACACGUGCUACAAUGGUUGGUACAACGAGUUGCGAGUCGGUGACGGCAAGCUAAUCUCUUAAAGCCAAUCUCAGUUCGGAUUGUAGGCUGCAACUCGCCUACAUGAAGUCGGAAUCGCUAGUAAUCGCGGAUCAGCACGCCGCGGUGAAUACGUUCCCGGGCCUUGUACACACCGCCCGUCACACCACGAGAGUUUGUAACACCCGAAGUCGGUGAGGUAACCUUUUGGAGCCAGCCGCCUAAGGUGGGAUAGAUGAUUGGGGUGAA